CAAGUCAUCAGGGCCCCUACGAGUAGGGCUACACACGUGCUACAAUGGCAGAUACAAAGAGAAGCGACCUCGCGAGAGCAAGCGGAACUCAUAAAGUCUGUCGUAGUCCGGAUUGGAGUCUGCAACUCGACUCCAUGAAGUCGGAAUCGCUAGUAAUCGUAGAUCAGAAUGCUACGGUGAAUACGUUCCCGGGCCUUGUACACACCGCCCGUCACACCAUGGGAGUGGGUUGCAAAAGAAGUACGUAGGCGUUAGAUCUAUGGCUCGAGCAU
rnacentral:rRNA from 1 species